AUCUGUGAACGUACGAAUUGGAACCCCGCCCCCCACUGAUAAUGUUUCGAUGCCGCACGCGACUGAUCGCUAAUUGAAGGAGGAGUCAAUUCGUCGCGUGGUGAUUACUGUCACCCCUGCGUCUAGCCAGUCGCACCAUACAGGUUC
ensembl:ncRNA F42D1.13 ncRNA